rnacentral:lncRNA from 1 species
CCUUUUAAAAAAAGAUUGUAUUUAACUACAAAUAAAGAAUACAGUCAAAUCUUCGUUGAGAAUACAAGAUACACUAUAUUUAAAAAUAAAAUGUACCAUCAAACCUCAUCGGAUCUCUGACAAAAAUCUAAAAUACACUUUAGAUCUGUGACGAAAUAUAAAAUACACUGUGUUUACACAAUGAUUUUCCCACGUGAAAGGUAGUGGAGAAGAAAGAGGCCGCUUCUUUUUUCGGCGUGAAAAAUAGUGGUGGAGAAGUCUCAAGUCAGACGAAUUCUACAAAGAAGGAGUAGAAGCCAUGAAUUCCGAUAUCUCCGUGAGAUCCAGAUCUGAUGACGCCUCCGAUCUUCUUCCUCGAUUGUUUUCGCGUCUGGUAAUAAAUUGAUUGUAACUUCGUGAUUUCAGAUUUGGAUUUAACGGUGGGUGAUGAUGGUAUUUAAAGGUGAUUCGGGGUGAAAGGGGUAUAUAUAAGAGGGUGGUGAUGUGUGGGGAAGAGAGAAAGAGGCCGCUAUUUAGGCUUCGUAGAGCUCCGCAUGAGAAGACGGCUGUCGGUGACUUCUCUACUGCAGAGGGAGAAGAAAAAGGGAAAAUGAGAGAGUUAAGGGAGAACGAGAGAAAGAGGGUUCCGAGAAAAGAUUAUA